rnacentral:rRNA from 1 species
UACGUAGGGGGCAAGCGUUUUCCGGAUUUAUUGGGCGUAAAGAGCGUGUAGGCGGCUUCACAAGUCCGCUGUGCAAACUCGAGGCUCACCCUCGAGCUGUCGGUGGAAACUGUGUGGCUAGAGUCCGGAAGAGGAGAGUGGAAGUCCCGGUGUAGCGGUGAAAUGCGCAGAGAUCGGGAAGAACACCCGUGGCGAAGGCGGCUCUCUGGGACGGUACUGACGCUGAGACGCGAAAGCGUGGGGAGCGAACAGG